rnacentral:rRNA from 1 species
AUGUGUGUACGAAAGAACCAAGGAGGAAUGUGGUUCCAUGACAUCCACUAUUUCAACCUGACUGUGCUUACUAAACAGGCAUGUUGUCUCCUUGAUAAUUCUGACUCCUUGUGCGCUACUAUUCUAAGGGCCAAGUAUUACCCUGAUGGUGAUUUGCUGAACUCCAAGCCAAAGCAUGGUGCUUCUUUCACCUGGAAAAGCAUUAUGGCAGGCGUUACUACUCUCAAGCAUGGCUAUAUUUGGCAAGUGGGGGAUGGACACAACAUCAAUAUUUGGGAAGACGCCUGGAUCCCAAAUUGUGCCACUAGGGAAGAUUGCCACCCCUAA